GCUGCUGUAGCACAGUCUGGCCUAAUGCGCCGCCCUGUCACGGCGGAGAUCGCGGGUCCAAAUCCCGCCAGCAGCGCCA
rnacentral:tRNA from 1 species